UACGUAGGGCGCAAGCGUUGUCCGGAAUUAUUGGGCGUAAAGAGCUCGUAGGCGGGUUGUCGCGUCUGCUGUGAAAACCUAAGGCUCAACCUUGGGCUUGCAGUGGGUACGGGCAGACUAGAGUGCGGUAGGGGUGACUGGAAUUCCUGGUGUAGCGGUGGAAUGCGCAGAUAUCAGGAGGAACACCGAUGGCGAAGGCAGGUCACUGGGCCGCAACUGACGCUGAGGAGCGAAAGCAUGGGGAGCGAACAGG
rnacentral:rRNA from 1 species